GACGAACCGUGCGAACGUUGUUCGGAUUCACUGGGCUUAAAGGGCGCGUAGGCGGGCAUUCAAGUCAGGGGUGAAAGCCCCCGGCCUAACCGGGGAAGUGCCUCUGAGACUGAGUGUCUCGAGGGGGGGUAGGGGCAGUUGGAACUCUCGGUGGAGCGGUGAAAUGCGUAGAUAUCGGGGAGGAACGCCGGUGGCGAAAGCGGGCUGCUGGACCCCUUCUGACGCUGAGGCGCGAAAGCCAGGGGAGCGAACGGG
rnacentral:rRNA from 1 species